rnacentral:rRNA from 1 species
GCUGGCGGCAGGCCUAACACAUGCAAGUCGAACGGAGUUAUAUUGUAGCUUGCUAUGGUAUAACUUAGUGGCAGACGGGUGAGUAAUGUAUAGGAAUCUACCUAGUAGUACGGAAUAAUUGUUGGAAACGGCAACUAAUACCGUAUACGCCCUACGGGGGAAAAAUUUAUUGCUAUUAGAUGAGCCUAUAUUAGAUUAGCUAGUUGGUGGAGUAAUAGCCUACCAAGGCAAUGAUCUAUAGCUGAUCUGAGAGGAUGAUCAGCCACACUGGAACUGAGAUACGGUCCAGACUCCUACGGGAGGCAGCAGUGGGGAAUAUUGGACAAUGGGCGAAAGCCUGAUCCAGCCAUGCCGCAUGAGUGAAGAAGGCCUUUGGGUUGUAAAGCUCUUUUAGUGAGGAAGAUAAUGACGGUACUCACAGAAGAAGUCCUGGCUAACUCCGUGCCAGCAGCCGCGGUAAUACGGAGAGGGCUAGCGUUAUUCGGAAUUAUUGGGCGUAAAGGGCGCGUAGGCGGAUUAGUAAGUUAAAAGUGAAAUCCCAAGGCUCAACCUUGGAAUUGCUUUUAAAACUGCUAAUCUAGAGAUUGAAAGAGGAUAGAGGAAUUCCUAGUGUAGAGGUGAAAUUCGUAAAUAUUAGGAGGAACACCAGUGGCGAAGGCGUCUAUCUGGUUCAAAUCUGACGCUGAGGCGCGAAGGCGUGGGGAGCAAACAAGAUUAGAUACCCUG